rnacentral:rRNA from 1 species
CCUACGUGGGGCAGCAGUGGGGAAUAUUGCGCAAUGGGCGAAAGCCUGACGCAGCGACGCCGCGUGAGGGAUGAAGGUCUUCGGAUCGUAAACCUCUGUCAGCAGGGAAGAACGGUCACUGUGCUAAUCAGCAGUGAAUUGACGGUACCUGCAAAGGAAGCACCGGCGAACCCAGUGCAAGCAGCCGCGGUAAUACGGAGGGUGCGGGCGUUAAUCGGAAUUACUUGGCGGAAAGCGCACGAAGGCGGUCUGUCAAGUCAAGGGUGAAAUCCCCGCGCGCAACGUGGGAACUGCCUUUGAAACUGGCAAACUGGAGUGUGUGAGCGGAUAGUGGAAUUCCAGGUGUAGGAGUGAAAUCCGGAGAUAUCUGGAGGAACAUCAGUGGCGAAGGCGACUAUCUGGCACAUAACUGACGCUGCGGCGCGAAAGCGUGGGUAGCAAACAGGAUUAGAUACCCGAGUAGUC